rnacentral:rRNA from 1 species
AGCUCAACCUGGAACGCCUUUGAUACUGGAGAUCUGAGUCCGGGAGAGGUGAGUGGAAUNGCNAGUGUANAGGUGAAAUNCGUANAUAUUCGCAAGAACACCAGUGGCGAAGGCGGCUCACUGGCCCGGAACUGACGCUGAGACGCGAAAGCGUGGGGAGCAAACAGGAUUAGAUACCCUGGUAGUCCACGCUGUAAACGAUGGAUGCUAGCCGUUGGGGAGCUGGCUCUUCAGUGGCGCAGCUAACGCUUUAAGCAUCCCGCCUGGGGAGUACGGUCGCAAGAUUAAAACUCAAANGAAUNGACGGGGGCCCGCACAAGCGGUGGAGCAUGUGGUUCAAUUCGACGCAACGCGCAGAACCUUACC